rnacentral:tRNA from 15 species
GAAUAGCUCAGUUGGUAGAGCAAUCGGCUGUUAACCGAUCGGUCGUAGGUUCGAGUCCUACUUC